AGUCGAGGGGUAGAGUUCUUCGGAGCUUGAGACCGGCGCACGGGUGCGUAACGCGUAUGCAAUCUACCUUUUACAGAGGGAUAGCCCAGAGAAAUUUGGAUUAAUACCUCAUAGUAUAGCAGUUUCGCAUGAAACCACUAUUAAAGUCACAACGGUAAAAGAUGAGCAUGCGUCCCAUUAGCUAGUUGGUAAGGUAACGGCUUACCAAGGCUACGAUGGGUAGGGGUCCUGAGAGGGAGAUCCCCCACACUGGUACUGAGACACGGACCAGACUCCUACGGGAGGCAGCAGUGAGGAAUAUUGGACAAUGGGCGCAAGCCUGAUCCAGCCAUGCCGCGUGCAGGAUGACGGUCCUAUGGAUUGUAAACUGCUUUUAUACGAGAAGAAACACUCCAACGUGUUGGAGCUUGACGGUAUCGUAAGAAUAAGGAUCGGCUAACUCCGUGCCAGCAGCCGCGGUAAUACGGAGGAUCCAAGCGUUAUCCGGAAUCAUUGGGUUUAAAGGGUCCGUAGGCGGUUUAAUAAGUCAGUGGUGAAAGCCCAUCGCUCAACGGUGGAACGGCCAUUGAUACUGUUAAACUUGAAUUAUUAGGAAGUAACUAGAAUAUGUAGUGUAGCGGUGAAAUGCUUAGAGAUUACAUGGAAUACCAAUUGCGAAGGCAGGUUACUACUAAUGGAUUGACGCUGAUGGACGAAAGCGUGGGUAGCGAACAGGAUUAGAUACCCUGGUAGUCCACGCCGUAAACGAUGGAUACUAGCUGUUGGAAGCAAUUUCAGUGGCUAAGCGAAAGUGAUAAGUAUCCCACCUGGGGAGUACGUUCGCAAGAAUGAAACUCAAAGGAAUUGACGGGG
rnacentral:rRNA from 1 species